AAACGACAGUCCUCCCACUGACGAACAGGAUACGCCAACAUCGCCAGAUGCAUCUACUUCCUAACCAAUAUUGCUGAAUGUACCACAUACAUUGCAAGAUGUCACAACAAGGAUUAUUUGUACAGAAUUCGGACGGACCUCCACAACCAAUUUCUGUUUGCACUGCGAGCAGGACCGAGCGUUCCACGCAUCUCUCACUGC